rnacentral:rRNA from 1 species
UACGGAGGGUGCAAGCGUUGUCCGGAAUCACUGGGCGUAAAGGGCGCGUAGGCGACUCAUGAAGCUGUGGUGAAAGUCCGGGGCUCAACCUCGGAUCGGCCCGUGGCGACUCGUGGGCUCGGAGCACUGUAGAGGCGGGUGGAAUCCUGGUGUAGCGGUGGAAUGCGCAGGAGUAUCAGGAGGAACCACCGAUGGCGGAAAGGCCAGGUCACUGGGCCGG